rnacentral:rRNA from 1 species
AUGCAUGCAUCAACACAAGCUAGCCAGCUCAACUCACCGGCACCAAAUGGCCACUUGCUAGUUAAUCAAACUAUUUUUCAACACAUAGGCUUGACUUUAUUUUCCAAACUAAUAGGCUCGGCUUUGUUUUUCCAACAACCAUACAAAAGAAAAAAAGACCUAAAUAGACAUGCAAACAACCAUGGCCUCGUUAUAGAACUUGAACCUCACCACCACACUAGCUCUUCAUGGCACCAUCUCCCCGCUAUUCAACUUGAACAACAGGAGCAAAUCCUGCACCCCAACCACCAGAACACAAUCCCACCAUCCAUUACAAAAGCACACGUACACAUGCCACAUAUAUGA